GACAGAGGGGGCAAGCGUUGCUCGGAAUUACUGGGCGUAAAGGGCGCGUAGGCGGGAUGGCAAGUCGGUCGUGAAAUCCUUCGGCUCAACCGAAGAACGUCGAUCGAUACUGCUGUUCUUGAGGGUUGCAGAGGAGACUGGAAUUCCCGGUGUAGCAGUGAAAUGCGUAGAUAUCGGGAGGAAUACCGAUGGGCGAAGGCA
rnacentral:rRNA from 1 species